rnacentral:rRNA from 1 species
GAUGAACGCUGGCGGCGUGCUUAACACAUGCAAGUCGAGCGGUAAGGCCCUUUCGGGGGUACACGAGCGGCGAACGGGUGAGUAACACGUGGGUGACCUGCCCUCAGCUCUGGGAUAAGCCUGGGAAACUGGGUCUAAUACCGGAUAUGACUCCAUGACGCAUGUUGUGGGGUGGAAAGCCUUGUGCGGCUGAGGAUGGGCCCGCGGCCUAUCAGCUUGUUGGUGGGGUGAUGGCCUACCAAGGCGACGACGGGUAGCCGGCCUGAGG